rnacentral:misc_RNA from 1 species
GAUGAAGAACGUAGCGAAAUGCGAUAAGUAAUGUGAAUUGCAGAAUUCAGUGAAUCAUCGAAUCUUUGAACGCACAUUGCGCCCUCUGGUAUUCCGGGGGGCAUGCCUGUUCGAGCGUCAUUAUAACCACUCAAGCUCUCGCUUGGUAUUGGGGCUCGCGGUUCCGCGGCCCCUAAAAUCAGUGGCGGUGCCUGUCGGCUCUACGCGUAGUAAUACUCCUCGCGAUUGAGUCCGGUAGGUCUACUUGCCAGCAACCCCAAUUUUUACAGGUUGACCUCGGAUCAGGUAGGGAUACCCGCUGAACUUAAGCAUAUCAAUAAGCGGAGGA